rnacentral:rRNA from 1 species
CCCUUAGAUGUUCUGGGCCGCACACGCGCUACACUGAAGGAGGCAGCGUGUACUCCUGGAUCGAAAGAUUUGGGUAACCCGCGAAUCUCCUUCGUGCUAGGGAUUGAGGUUUGCAAUUAUCCUUCAUGAACGAGGAAUUCCCAGUAAGUGCAAGUCAUAAGCUUGCGCUGACUACGUCCCUGCCCUUUGUACACACCGCCCGUCGCUACUACCGAUUGAGUGCUCAGGUGAAUAAUUCGGACUGCAGCAAUGUUCGGAUCCCGAACGUUGCAGCGGAAAGUUUAGUGAACCUUAUCACUUAGAGGAAGGAGAAGUCGUAACA